GACGAACGCUGGCGGCAUGCCUAACACAUGCAAGUCGAACGAGCCCUUCGGGUCUUUUGGCGCUCGAGUUCGUCACGCGUGGGAACCUUCCCUUAGGUUCGGAAUACCUCCCCGACAGGGGUGCUUAUACCGGAUAAUGUCUUCUGACCAAAGAUUUAUCGCCCUUGGAUGGGCCCGCGUUGGAUUAGCUGGUUGGUAGGGUAAUAGCCUACCAAGGCGACGAUCCAUAGCUGGUCUGAGAGGAUGCUCAGCCACACUGGGACGGAGACACGGCCCAGACUCCUACGGGAGGCAGGAGUGGGGAAUAGUGGACAAUGGGCGGAAGGAUGAUCGAGUAAGGCCGCGUGAGCGAUGAAGGCCGUAGGGUUGUAAAGCUCUUGUAACCGUGAUGAUAAUGACAGUACCGGGAGAAAAAGCCCCGGCUAACUCCGUG
rnacentral:rRNA from 1 species